rnacentral:rRNA from 1 species
UACGUAGGGGGCUAGCGUUGUCCGGCAUCAUUGGGCGUAAAGAGCGUGUAGGCGGUCCGGUAAGUCCGCUGUGAAAGUCGGGGGCUCAACCCUCGAAUGCCGGUGGAUACUGUCGGGCUAGAGUGCGGAAGAGGCGAGUGGAAUUCCUGGUGUAGCGGUGAAAUGCGCAGAUAUCAGGAGGAACACCGAUUGCGAAGGCAGCUCGCUGGGACGUUACUGACGCUGAGACGCGAAAGCGUGGGGAGCAAACAGG